GCUUCUUUUUCCACCGGAGCUUGCUCCACCGGAAAAGAGGAGUGGCGAACGGGUGAGUAACACGUGGGUAACCUGCCCAUCAGAAGGGGAUAACACUUGGAAACAGGUGCUAAUACCGUAUAACAAUCGAAACCGCAUGGUUUUGAUUUGAAAGGCGCUUUCGGGUGUCGCUGAUGGAUGGACCCGCGGUGCAUUAGCUAGUUGGUGAGGUAACGGCUCACCAAGGCGACGAUGCAUAGCCGACCUGAGAGGGUGAUCGGCCACAUUGGGACUGAGACACGGCCCAAACUCCUACGGGAGGCAGCAGUAGGGAAUCUUCGGCAAUGGACGAAAGUCUGACCGAGCAACGCCGCGUGAGUGAAGAAGGUUUUCGGAUCGUAAAACUCUGUUGUUAGAGAAGAACAAGGAUGAGAGUAACUGUUCAUCCCUUGACGGUAUCUAACCAGAAAGCCACGGCUAACUACGUGCCAGCAGCCGCGGUAAUACGUAGGUGGCAAGCGUUGUCCGGAUUUAUUGGGCGUAAAGCGAGCGCAGGCGGUUUCUUAAGUCUGAUGUGAAAGCCCCCGGCUCAACCGGGGAGGGUCAUUGGAAACUGGGAGACUUGAGUGCAGAAGAGGAGAGUGGAAUUCCAUGUGUAGCGGUGAAAUG
rnacentral:rRNA from 1 species